GCUCUGUGAAAAUGGCCCUUUUAAAACAUGGAAAAUUUAAACAUGGAAAAUUGAGAUCACUUAUAAUGGAAUGGAGACCCAUGGAGAGUGUAUCAGCCAAGGUUAACAAUUUGGGUCCGCCAGGAACUCUUCCCAACUAGCCAAGGGGAUGGAGGAUUUCCUAAGGGAAAUCUUACUAUCCCAAAGGAAGUUAAUCGCAAGAAGAACAAUGAGACUGAAGCUGCAUU